rnacentral:rRNA from 1 species
AGUGAACGCUGGCGGUAGGCCUAACACAUGCAAGUCGAACGGCAGCACAGUAAGAGCUUGCUCUUACGGGUGGCGAGUGGCGGACGGGUGAGGAAUACAUCGGAAUCUACUUUUUCGUGGGGGAUAACGUAGGGAAACUUACGCUAAUACCGCAUACGACCUACGGGUGAAAGCAGGGGAUCUUCGGACCUUGCGCGAUUGAAUGAGCCGAUGUCGGAUUAGCUAGUUGGCGGGGUAAAGGCCCACCAAGGCGACGAUUCGUAGCUGGUCUGAGAGGAUGAUCAGCCACACUGGAACUGAGACACGGUCCAGACUCCUACGGGAGGCAGCAGGGGGGAAUAUUGGACAAUGGGCGCAAGCCUGAUCCAGCCAUACCGCGUGGGUGAAGAAGGCCUUCGGGUUGUAAAGCCCUUUUGUUGGGAAAGAAAAGCAGCAGGUUAAUACCCCGCUGUUCUGACGGUACCCAAAGAAUAAGCACCGGCUAACUUCGUG